AGUAAAAAAAAAAACAUGUAGAUGAUGUCAUGAAAGUUGCGACAGUUGUCUUUUCGUUUUUUACAAAAAUAUCAUUGUUCAUUUAAUUUAUUAAGAUCACAUUCUGUAUACACUGAGAAUACUGUAAUCAUUUUACCAUCGAGUCCAGCUCUUCGAAUGCUUAGUAUCCGGAGUCUUGUGUCGCUGAGUUUGCCUGUCAAUGGAAAGUGAAAAACACACCGAGUGGAGUUCGGCUUUAGAUGAAGACUUAGUUCAGAAUUCAGUAUCUGCGGUGAUUCCGCCGGGUCCUAUCCCAUGGAGCCUGUCUGCCGGGCCCUGGUCCAUUGAGAGCAGCGUCCCAACAGUAUUAAAUCAAUACACUGAAGCACAGAAUUACAGCAGUUUUAUCCCCAGCAAUGAAACACAGAGCCAAACCGUACAGACCGAGAACUGGACAGAGGAAAGAUCUGCAAACACAAGUGAGGACUGGGAGUCAGACAUGUCAUCACGAAUCAGCUCUCUUAAAGAUGCCAUGCAUCAUAUUGUUUCAAAGACUGACAAAACAUUCAAAUUAGAGGUGAAGUAUAUCAGUGCAGCGAAAGGACGCGGUCUAUUUGCAAAGGGUUCCAUUAGCAAAGGUGAAUUUGUUGUUGAAUAUAGGGGAGAUAUAAUAAAUCACGCAGAGUUGGAGAGCAGAAGAAAACGUUACCACACUUCCAGUGCUGCAUUUAUGUUUGAGUUUAAGUGGAGAGGCAAAACAUGGUGUAUCGAUGCUUCUAGAGAAGAUGGAUCGUUUGGACGGAUAGUUAAUGAUGACCACAAACAUCCAAACUGUAAGAUGAAGAAGAUUGAUGUGAAUGGAAGGAUACACCUUUGUUUGUUUGCUCUGAAUGACAUUAAAGAAGGAGAAGAAAUUACAUACCAAUAUGGAGGAGAAGACUACCCUUGGAGAACACAAAAAACCAGCAUCGCUGCUAAUACCAAGGCAGAAAGUGACUCUAAACCUUCCCCCAAGUCAAAGAUGAAUAAUGCUACUUGUCAAAAUAACUCUCCUCAACAAAUUGUCACACAGCUCCGAAAUGAAAGUGAGAUUUUUGUUCCAAGACUGAGACAGACUAAUAGUAUAAUAAUGAAAGACAAAGAUCUUGAUGAUUCUGAUGAACUCUUUGAUUCUACACCAGAGAGUUCAGAUUAUUACAUUACAGAUACCACUUCCGAAAGUGACUUUGACACUGAUGCUAAUCUUAUACCAAACCAGACAAAACUUCAGCUUCUUUAUGAUGAACUGGAUGUGGAUGAUUCUGGCUCACUGAGCUCCCUUGACUGUGACACAGCAACACCAGAAAAAACGCACAGCCUUGCAUCUGAAGCAUCUGGAUCAGAAGAACCAUGUUCGAGUCAGAAUGCAAUGGAUGGCGUAGUUGUUAGUGCUUACCAAAAAAAAGGUGUUAGUAGAGUGUACAACAAGAGACAUUACUGCUUGUAUUGCUGUAAGCCUUAUGCUAAAAUGGCAAGGCAUCUAGAAGGUUCACAUGCAAGUGAAUCUGAUGUGGCUAAAGCGCUAAGCUUUCCAAAGAGUUCCAAGGAGAGAAAAAAACAGCUAGAUUAUAUUCGCAACCGAGGAAAUUAUGCUCACAAUGCUGCUGUUAUGGAAUCAGGAAAGGGGGAACUAGUGCCAUAUAAACGACCAUCCAAAGAAGCACAGGGAAAAGAUUUCAUGCAUUGUGCAUACUGUCAAGGCCUUUUUGCGAGAAAGGUCCUGUGGCGACAUAUGCGCACUUGUAUACUUCAACCUCAGUCUGUCCCCCUCAAACCAGGAAAAAAACGUGUUCAGUCCAUGUGUAUAUACACAGGCCCUGUUCCUUCAAACAUGACUAAACAACUGUGGGAAGUGAUUAGUGUCAUGAAUCUUGACUCAAUCACAGAUAUAAUAAAAAAAGACAAAGUAAUUAUUGCUAUUGGUCAGCAUUUGUUAAACACAGGUGGACUGUCAGCCAAGAAUAAGCAGUGUGUGCGAGAGAAGAUGCGGGAAUUGGGAAGGUUGGUUCACAAUGCUAGAAGAGUCACCUCUUUAAAAACAAUGGAAGACUGCGUAAAUCCAAGGAAGUACAUGGAGACUGUCAAAGCUGUCAAGUAUACAUGUGGGUAUGAAUCUGACAAGUUUAUGAUUCCAUCACUUGCAAAGAAGCUUGGGAAUUCUCUGCUUCAAGUAAGCAAACUGUUAAAAGCUCAAGGCUUAAUGUCAAAUGACGAACAGCGAGUGAAGAUUGCCAGUGAGUUUCAAGACAUCCAUCAAGAAAAGUGGAAUGAAAUGAUCUUAGACACGGCAUUGAGGAAUAUCAGGGAAGCCAAGUGGAAUGUGCCUGCUCUCAUGCCCUUUACUGAAGAUGUCCAAAAAAUGCACACACAUCUCAGUCAAGUGCAAGAUGAGUGCUACAAAUCACUAUCUGAAGGUUCCUCUACUAAAGCCUGGAUGGAGCUGGCAAAGGUUUGUCUAGCCCAGAUAAUUCUCUUCAACCGGCGGAGAGGAGGAGAGGUGGCAAGCAUGCCAUUGUCUGUGUUUUUUCCAAGAGACACUUCUGAUCCACAAGAGGGUGUGGACUGGGCGCUGUCCGAAGUAGAAAAAAACCUCUGCAGAUGCUUCUCAAGGAUUAUCACCAUGGGAAAGUGUGGUCAGCCAGUUCCGAUUCUUCUGACUCCAAAAAUGCUGUGUUCCUUAGAGCUCCUUGUGAAGCAGAGAGAACCUUGUGGGGUUCUAAAAGACAAUGGUUACAUGUUUGCAAGACCAGAAGCCAUGACACAUUUACGAGGGUCAGACUGCCUCCGUGGCUUUGCAAAGGCAUGUGGUGCAAAGUGUCCCAAAUCACUGACAUCUACCAGACUGCGAAAGCAUGCAGCUAUCCUUUCAACAGUGCUGAACUUGACAGAAAUGCAGAUGGACCAGUUAGCAAACUUUCUUGGACAUGUUAUAAAAAUUCAUUGUGAAUUGUUCCGAGUCCCUGAGAAGACCUUGCAACUCGCCAAGAUCUGCAAAAUUCUAAUGGCUCUUGAACAAGGAAGAUUAGCUGAGUUUCAUGGCAAGAGCUUGGAUGAAAUUGUGAUAGAUCCUGAUGAAAAAGUUCUGGAAAGUGAUGAAGACAGGAUAAUACAAGAGGGAUCAUCUGCUGUUUAUGAAUCAGUAGCAAUGGAGAUGCGUCCUUCUGCUGAGAGGAAAGACAUGCCACCACCACCCAAAAAACAUAAACCAUCAUUACCAUUACCACUUUCAGGAGCCAGUGCUGUGAGGUCUUCUUUUCAAGGUCAAACUACCCAUAAGAAAAAUCCCUGGCAGCAGACAGAGGUGCAGGCAGUGGAAAGACACAUGAUGCGAUUCAUCACAUCAUUUACUGUACCGGGAAAGACUGACUGUGAGAAGUGUUUAAAGGCUGAACCAGAAGCUCUAAGGAACCGGGACUGGAAGAAUGUGAAAUUCUUCAUAUAUAACCGUAUUACAGCUUAUAAAAAGAGUUUGCAGUACAAAUAAUAUGAAGAUUAUCAACUCCCUGGUAUGGCAUUGUUUUGUUUACAAUAGCCCUUUCUUCCAUUUGACUUUUGAGACCUUUAAAAACUUUAGAAAGAGUGGGCCCCACAGUUGAUGAUCAUAAAGUUUGUCUUCAUAAAAUGGAAACCUGUGUGUGUGUGUGUUUGUGUACAAGCUGUAUUAGUGAACAACACAUUUGAUGUCAAACAAAUAUCCUGAAAAAUAUAUUGAAACAUGAUGAGCAGUUUGAAUUUGAAGUGGUGCUUGAAAUGCUCAAAAAUGAGCCAGAACAUGUUUUCUUUUAGAUUUGUUAUGGGCUUGCAUGACAGUGUAACCAGUAUGUUUGUGUGUGCGUGUUUUGGGAAGAACUUCAGCCUUGGAACCCUGGGGUUUUUUGUUUUAGUGUUUGUGGAGUUUAUAAAUGUUACAGUUGAUUUUGAAAAUGUGAAUUUAUGUGCAGUAGUGUUCAAAGUAAAUAUUCAGUUUUUGUUUUUGUUUUUCUUUAUUUCCUGGAAUAAUAAUUUUCUUGUGGCGGUAGUGCAUGUUGGUUUCCAGCCGCCAUUAAAAACCAAGAAGUAGAAUUUUCUGAAUAAUCUCAGACUUUCAAACCCUUAUGUAUAUCUUCCUUUCUUUUUCUCUUUCUCUGUAGUGUGCUUUAGAAGACUGCAGUAUUGAGCUGAGUGAGCAGUAUGAGGCUCUUAUGAAGCAGCAUGCAGCGGAGCAGGAGGAGCACAACCUCCAUGUCCACAAUCUG